AGGAAUACAUCAAGAAACAAAUUGAUAAGGAAUUUGCGAAGGGCUUGGUAGUCGCUGGUGGAGCGGCGCUAGUACUUGGUGGAAUAUUGGGUCUAGGCAUUGCUAUGGCUAGAAAUAAACAAAAACGGGAGAAAUAGUGAAAUCCAUAAUUUUUACGGAAUCUUAAUCCACCUGCAACUUCAACAACGCAGCCGUUUUGUCUGUUGCUGAAAUCGAUAAAUAGUAAUUUACUUCAUUACUGUUCUUAAAUAUUGUAUUACGUUUAACCGCGAUAAUUCAAUAAAAGGCCCAAGUUUUAACUUUUAUUUAAUAUCUAAUAAUAAAAUAGGACCCCAAAAAGGGGAAAGUCAAUCGGCAGUUAAAAAAGGCUAGACAAAAAA